rnacentral:rRNA from 1 species
UACGUAGGUGGCGAGCGUUGUCCGGAUUUACUGGGCGUAAAGGGCUUGUAGGCGGUCCGCUAAGUCUGGUGUGAAAUCUCCCGGCUCAACUGGGAGGGGUCAUCGGAUACUGGCGGACUUGAGGGGGGUAGAGGAAAGCAGAAUUCCUGGUGUAGCGGUGAAAUGCGCAGAUAUCAGGAAGAACACCGGUGGCGAAGGCGGCUCUCUGGGCCUUACCUGACGCUGAGGAGCGAAAGCGUGGGUAGCGAACAGG